UACGUAGGGAGCAAGCGUUGUCCGGAAUCAUUGGGCGUAAAGCGCGCGUAGGUGGCCUCGUAAGUCCGCUGUGAAAGUCCAAGGCUCAACCUUGGAAAGCCGGUGGAUACUGUGAGGCUAGAGUACGGAAGAGGCGAGUGGAAUUCCUGGUGUAGCGGUGGAAUGCGCAGAUAUCAGGAGGAACACCAAUAGCGAAGGCAGCUCGCUGGGACGUUACUGACACUAAGGCGCGAAAGCGCGGGGAGCGAACAGG
rnacentral:rRNA from 1 species